UGCUCUGAGAGGCAGAAAAGCGG
rnacentral:miRNA from 1 species